UCACGCCUAGGAUUCCAUCCAGUUGCUGUCCACUGCACGACCGUUGAAGUUGUCCCUUGCACCUCGCGGGUGAAUUGGUAGAGUCUAUCCCUUGUGCAUACUUCCCUAUCUCAAGUGUCUCUUCUAAUCCAAGCCAGGAUCCCCAAUUUCUUUAUUUUUUUUUUGCAACCGGCAAGAAAAAAAACCACCAAAAACUCAAAAUGCAUGAGAGCAGCAGUCUUAUGGUCACCUACAUGAUCCUCCUCCUUCUCCUGGCCCUUCUCUGGAUGCUCUACGCCGGUGUCUUUUGAAUACCAUGAUCCUGUGCUUAAUCUAGAAUAUGUGGAGUGCUUUAGUCUUCUAUCAUUCACCCCAUCAUUUCUCCAAAACAUUCACCAAGGAUUCAAUGGAUUACAAAUUCUGAAAAAAAUAUGAUGUAGCCAUCGAGGGGGAAGGAGGGCGAAUUUCGCCACCAUCCUUGGGAAUGUUUGAUCAUCCACAUAUUUAUCAAACAUCUCGCUGUUUCUUCAUGCAAAAAAAAACGACAAUCUCAACAUAAUCCUCUAACCAUCCGAAGCUGAUUUCGUACUAACAAAUCGUGUCUGGAAAUUUAUCAAAUAUGCAUAUCUUAUUGAAUAACAAAUCAAGAAAAAAACUUCAUUAAUUUUUCUUUGUAUAAAUUUUAUGUUUAAUGCGUUCUUUUGAAAAUUAAUGAAAAAGGAAUAAUCAAAAACUUGUAACUCGUUCGAAGCAAAAACAAAUUCUAACAUCACAAAAAAAUGCACCAUCCCACAGCUUUGUCAACAAAUACAAUAACAAAAAAAAUGAUUGGUAAAUUUUCUCUAGAAUAUAAUCUAUAAAAUGUAUUUUUGUCUCUAGGUUAAUUAAGGCACAUUUAUAAAUAUGUAAAUUAUAUCAUAGUUGUUUUAAAAUAUGGGAUAAUCUUAGAAUAUUUAUUACUAUAAAUUGUUUAAAAACAAAAACUUUACAUGUCACUUUACAAUACUUUUUUUUUGGAAAAAAAAUGUUUUAGAAGAAGCAUUUAAAAAUGAGGGAUAUAUUUUGUAAGAUUAUAUAUUUAGCUAAGAGAAGCCAAAUAGAAAUACCAAAAUAUUGCUAUUUUCUUAAAUUGUUAUACAGAGAGGUUAAAGAUGAAGUGAAAGCAGUUUUCUGUGUACGACGAAAUUCACAAUGUGAGAAAAAACCCAGAUUUUUAUGAAUUUCGAAUAAAAGCAGUAUAAUGUCUGAAA